AGAAACCCAUAUAUAUAGUUGCCCUGCAAUUAAAAAAUCUUGUCUUACUUAUUAAGGAACUCCUGACUCCCCUUUUCUUUCACUUUUGUUAAGGAGAAACUUCCCAAGGGUCCCCUUGGAUGUUUCUUCUCUCUUAUGGGUGAUGGCAGUAAGAAAAGGGAUUUUAGGCAGGAGAGUUUGAGCUUGUUAGUUUGUGUCUUUUGUAAUCAUAGAACUCAGACACAGAAAAGUUCUAUCGAGUUAAACAUGCAGGACUGGACUCGCUGUUGGCCAUCUAUUUGAAAAAAAAUCCUCUCGUGGUUGAACAGAAUAUGUGCAGCACAUGGAGGUCAGCAUGUAAGAUUCUUGAGCUCUCACCCAUAUCUAGACACCAACUUAUCUACCUAGAUCCAGAAUGAGUGUUCAAACUUCAGUUCAGUGAAACACACUUUAAGGUAAAUGCAUUUAGUUGAUUCCCUUCAAGCAUCUACUGUCUACCUAACAAGUGCUUAUUACUGGUCUAAUGCUAGCUGGCAUCAGCGAGGUGGAAGGAAUGUCUUUGCUGAUAAGGAGCUCUUGACCUGGUAUGGAGGAGAGAUUAAAAG